rnacentral:rRNA from 1 species
UGUGUAGGCGGUUUGGUAAGUCUGGUGUGAAAUCUCCCGGCUCAACUGGGAGGGUGCGCCGGAAACUGCCGGACUCGAGUGCGGGAGAGGAGAGUGGAAUUCCUGGUGUAGCGGUGAAAUGCGUAGAUAUCAGGAGGAACACCGGUGGUGUAGGCGGCUCUCUGGACCGUAACUGACGCUGAAACACGAAAGCGUGGGUAGCAAACAGGAUUAGAUACCCUGGUAGUCCACGCCCUAAACGAUGCAUAUUUGGUGUGGGUCAUUCAGUUGAUCCGUGCCGGAGCUAACGCGUUAAAUAUGCCGCCUGGGGAGUACAGUCGCAAGGCUGAA